rnacentral:rRNA from 1 species
UACGAAGGGGGCUAGCGUUGCUCGGAAUCACUGGGCGUAAAGCGCACGUAGGCGGAUUGUUAAGUCAGGGGUGAAAUCCUGGAGCUCAACUCCAGAACUGCCUUUGAUACUGGCGAUCUUGAGUCCGGGAGAGGUGAGUGGAACUCCGAGUGUAGUGGUGAAAUGCGUAGAGAUGCGGAGGAAUACCAGUGGCGAAGGCGGCCUUCUGGGGCUCAACUGACGCUGAAGCGCGAAAGCAUGGGGAGCGAACGGG